rnacentral:rRNA from 1 species
GAUGAACGCUGGCGGCGUGCCUAAUACAUGCAAGUCGAGCGAACAGAUGAGGAGCUUGCUCCUCUGACGUUAGCGGCGGACGGGUGAGUAACACGUGGAUAACCUACCUAUAAGACUGGGAUAACUUCGGGAAACCGGAGCUAAUACCGGAUAAUAUAUUGAACCGCAUGGUUCAAUAGUGAAAGACGGUUUUGCUGUCACUUAUAGAUGGAUCAGCGCCGCAUUAGCUAGUUGGUAAGGUAACGGCUUACCAAGGCAACGAUUCGUAGCCGACCUGGGAGGGUGAUCGGCCACACUGGAACUGAGACACGGUCCAGACUCCUACGGGAGGCAGCAGUAGGGAAUCUUCCGCAAUGGGCGAAAGCCUGACGGAGCAACGCCGCGUGAGUGAUGAGGGUCUUCGGAUCGUAAAACUCUGUUAUUAGGGAAGAACAAAUGUGUAAGUAACUAUGCACGUCUUGACGGUACCUAAUCAGAAAGCCACGGCUAACUACGUG